UGAGCAAUCUGCCCUUCUCAUCGGAAUAAGCGUUGGAAACGACGUCUAAUGCCGAAUACGACCUCCUUUCGCAUGAUCGGAGGUGGAAAGCUCCGGCGGAGAAGGAUGAGCUCGCGGCCUAUCAGCUAGUUGGUGUGGGUAAUGGCCCACCAAGGCGACGACGAGUAGCCGGCCUGAGAGGGUGACCGGCCACACUGGGACUGAGACACGGCCCAGACUCCUAGGAGG
rnacentral:rRNA from 1 species